rnacentral:rRNA from 1 species
ACUACGGGUGGCAGCAGUGGGGGAUAUUGCACAAUGGGGGGAACCCUGAUGCAGCGACGCCGCGUGGGUGAAGAAGCGCCUCGGUGCGUAAAGCCCUGUCAGCAGGGAAGAAAAUGACGGUACCUGAAGAAGAAGCCCCGGCUAACUACGUGCCAGCAGCGGCGGUAAUACGUAGGGGGCAAGCGUUAUCCGGAUUUUCUGGGCGUAAAGGGGGCGCAGACGGGGAUGCAAGCCAGGCGUGAAAGCCCGGGGCACAACCCCGGGACUGCUGUUGGAACUGGGUGGCUGGAGUGCAGGAGGGGCAGGCGGAAUUCCUGGUGUAGCGGUGAAAUGCGUAGAUAUCAGGAAGAACACCGGUGGCGAAGGCAGCCUGCUGGACUGCAACUGACGUUGAGGCCCGAAAGCGUGGGGAGCAAACAGGAUUAGAUACCCCUGUAGUC